rnacentral:tRNA from 1 species
GUCUUGGGAACAGCUCAGUUGGUAGAGCAUGAGACUCUUAAUCUCAGUCAUAGGUUUGAACCCCACGUUGGGCA